ensembl:lncRNA
CCUGGGAAAGCAUCCACUAAAAGAGCUGUGAAGUGUUCUAGGUACCCUUUAAGCCAGCCAGGGGGAACCAUGGAGAGAUGAGAUGGACUGGGAAAAAGGCAAGACAACUGUCCAGCCCUCCAAUUGAAUUACAUCCUCAAAACUCACGCUCUCGAGCCAGAGCCCUAAUCAUUGGGGGUCAACAGACAAGGUCACUGCUGUCUUCCUGUGUGCAGCCCAGGACCCUUCCUCAGGUUGCUGUGGGGUCGAUGGAGGGCAUCGUAGUGACCAAGCCCUUUCAGAUUGUGACUCGCUGGUCCUGGGCCCACCCUGUCCCACCUCUCAAAGACCUGUGUGGGGAGAAGUUGAAGAAUCAAGUUGGGUCUCACAGGAUGACCUGCCAAACAGGACGUGACCAGCAAUGGCCCCAGCCUUUGACCAGGGUUCCAUCUUCUUAUAGAAUAUUCUUCCCACUCUUGUUAUCACGAGUGAGGCCUGAUCCGUACUGGCUGUCCAUCCUCCCAAAGAACAAGCCCCUUAACUCAGCGCUUUGUGUCCAGCUUACACUUCUUCCCACCACGUCACCUGUCCGGGAGUUAACCUGUGUCACAGUCAGGCUGCCUUGACCUAUGUAACAAAGAAUUUCGUUUCCACUGGUCAGCCAACUUGAAAAUGAGUUGCCAGCCUAAUUCACGAUCCAGCCUUAGUUCAUGAUUCUUUUUUGAUGAGAACAGAUCCUUAUGUUUGUACUUGUUUUAGAGGGGUUUUUUUUUUUCCCCUUAAGUUGCUUCUCUUUUUAAGCACAUAAAAUGUAUUUCAACACAAGAAGUAUAAUCAAGGGCUACAUAAUGUUCCAGCUAAGUUUCUCUUUUGAAGUGAUAACCCAGCAUUGCUACACAGAACUGACUGCAUGGCAGAGUAAAUGAUGUUCCUCGUGGCCCAGCCGUGUCAGUCUCCAGCCUAAGCAUGUACGCUGGCCCGAACACACAUCACCACUGACAAACAGCUGCCAAGAUCGAGAGUACCCCAGUAAGUGGUAGGAUCCUUGUAGCAACAAAGCUGGUGCCAAUAGAUGGAAGUGAUGGAAUCAGCGGUCAUUAAAUGUGCCUCCACUAAGAACACUUCAAUUCUCCAUCCUAGUAUAUCAUAAAGAAGACGGAUGUAUCUCUUCGACAUGGAUGUACAGAACAGACUUUUGGACUCUGUGGGAGAGGGUUAGGUGGGAUGAUUUGGAAGAAUGGCAUUGAAACAUGUAUACUAUCAUGUAAGAAACGAAUGGCCAGUCUAGGUUCGAUACAGGAUACAGGAUGCUUGGGGCUGGUGCCCUGGGAUGACCCAG